rnacentral:misc_RNA from 1 species
GUCCAUUAGUAAUCUUGUUUUUAGCAAGAUUGUGUCUGGUGAAGGAUACAGUUAUGGCAGGGUCAGAGAAGGAAUUGUUUGUUGGGAGCCAAACUCAGCCAGCUUAGGCGUUUCUAAGUGUAUCAGGCAAUUACAGAGAUAUAGCUUCAGGGAGCGUUUCUCUCUGCGGGAUUUUAGAAGAGUCUAAUGAGAUAAAUGUUGGGGCAGUGGUAAUGAUUCAUUUUCCAACCGUCCAGUUGGGACCCUGUUUGUGUCCUUCACUGCAGGUGCUAACCAGUUUUGUGGAAUUAGAGAAGAUGAUCAUGCUUCGAGAAGAUGAUCGUCCUUUAAGCCUCUGAAACAUUCAGGGAUUCAAGUUUUACACCAUUCUAUAUUAGUUAUUUAUUCAAUAAAUUUGUCCUAUAUGUUUUCUUGAACAAGC